UACGUCGGAGACGAGCGUUGUCCGGAGUUACUGGGCGUAAAGCGUGCGUAGACGGUAGCGUAAGUCGGGUGUGAAAGCCCCGGGCUCAACCUGGGAAUUGCAUUCGAGACUGCUCUGCUAGGGUGCGGAAGAGGGGAGCGGAAUUUCCGGUGUAGCGGUGAAAUGCGUAGAUAUCGGAAGGAACACCAGUGGCGAAAGCGGCUCCCUGGUCCAGCACCGACGUUCAGGCACGAAAGCGUGGGGAGCAAACAGG
rnacentral:rRNA from 1 species